GUGAUGAGUGAGCUUUGAGAAUUGUUCCUUUUUGAUUGAAGAGUGAUGUAUGUUUAUAUAGUUUGGAAGCCGUAAUCGAGUCGGGUAGCUCGGGUAGAAUGGUUAAGGCAGAGCAAUUGCACUUGGGGUUGGUUACGGGAUGCGAUUAAGUUUGUGAAUCAGAAGGAAAAUAGAUUGGUUAUGUUGAUUUGGACUAAAACAGGUUUUAGUUGCCUAGUUAUUCGCAGCUUUGGAUUUUUCUGCUAUGCAUAUGCUGCUGUUGGGCAUUGCCUUGCUUGAAUAUUUGAAAUCGAUUUCUGGAACUGCUGUUGGAUUAUUGAUGCAAGAUUAUGGAUGUUGGC